rnacentral:lncRNA from 1 species
CUGGAAGGAAGUGUUUGCAGUGCUUGAGCAUCUGCCUGCAGCACAGCUAGCAGUGAUUCCUCCAGAGGAAUACUGGGAGUGUGGAGCCCAGCCUGGACUCUCUGAAUUAGCCCCUGGGGGUCCUGUCUUUGCUGUAACACAUCUGGAAAAGAUCAGCCUCACAAAUUCAUGGCUCCGCCAAACGUCCUCCAUUACAAAUUUCAAGAACAAAUAAAGAAAAAAAAAAGAUUAAUCAUGGAAAAAUUACUCCAGUCAUUUUUAUACCAUAUGAAAAUAUAUAUUGAAGGAGAGCAUAUCCAAAACAUUUUUUCCUUAUGAGAUGGAGUUUUCUAAAGCUUAGCUUAAAAAGCAUUAGAAAUCCAAAGACGAGCUAUGGAAGAAGCCUACCUACCCAAUAAACAGGUGAGAACAGCAUAAGAACA